rnacentral:RNase_P_RNA from 1 species
CAGGUUGGUCGGGCAGCCGCGGCGUGGUGAAAGUUGCGCCGAGGAAAGUCCGCACUCUGCAGAGCACGACGCCGGAUAACAUCCGGGGCGGGGAAACCUGCCGGACCGGGCCACAGAAACAGACCGCCGGCAGACGGUUCGCCGACUGCAGGUAAGGGUGAAAAGGUGGUGUAAGAGACCACCGGCGCGGGCAGCAAUGUCCGCGGCCAGGCAACCCCCGUCGAGAGCAAGGCCAAGCAGGAACGAGAGGCUGCUCGUCUCAUUUGAGUUCCGGGUGGGCUGCGCGAGCCUCCGGGAGACCGGUGGCCCAGAUAGAUGGCUGCCCAGGUCCGGAGUGCUGCGGGAAGAAGUCGGCAACGAUGUAAACCGCGGCGCCGGGCUGGACAGAAUGCGGCUUACAGACCGGCCUGGGGU